UACGUAGGGUGCGAGCGUUAAUCGGAAUUACUGGGCGUAAAGCGUGCGCAGGCGGUUUUGUAAGCCGGAUGUGAAAUCCCCGGGCUUAACCUGGGAAUGGCAUUCGGGACUGCAAGGCUGGAGUGCGGCAGAGGAGACGUGGAAUUCCUGGUGUAGCAGUGAAAUGCGUAGAUAUCAGGAGGAACACCGAUGGCGAAGGCAGGUCUCUGGGCUGACACGUGACGCUCA
rnacentral:rRNA from 1 species